rnacentral:rRNA from 1 species
GUGAACGCUGGCGGUAGGCCUAACACAUGCAAGUCGAACGGCAGCACAGUAAGAGCUUGCUCUUACGGGUGGCGAGUGGCGGACGGGUGAGGAAUACCUCGGAAUCUACUUUUUCGUGGGGGAUAACGUAGGGAAACUUACGCUAAUACCGCAUACGACCUACGGGUGAAAGCAGGGGAUCUUCGGACCUUGCGCGAUUGAAUGAGCCGAUGUCGGAUUAGCUAGUUGGCGGGGUAAAGGCCCACCAAGGCGACGAUCCGUAGCUGGUCUGAGAGGAUGAUCAGCCACACUGGAACUGAGACACGGUCCAGACUCCUACGGGAGGCAGCAGUGGGGAAUAUUGGACAAUGGGCGCAAGCCUGAUCCAGCCAUACCGCGUGGGUGAAGAAGGCCUUCGGGUUGUAAAGCCCUUUUGUUGGGAAAGAAAAGCAGCAGGUUAAUACCCCGCUGUUCUGACGGUACCCAAAGAAUAAGCACCGGCUAACUUCGUG